rnacentral:rRNA from 1 species
GACGAACGCUGGCGGCGUGCCUAACACAUGCAAGUCGAACGAAACUGAUUCCAUGAAACUUCGGUAGAUUGGAUGAAAGUUGAGUGGCGGACGGGUGAGUAACACGUGGGCAACCUGCCUCACAGAGGGGGAUAGCAGUUGGAAACGACUGAUAAUACCGCAUAAGCACACAGUACCGCAUGGUACAGGGUGAAAAGAUUUAUCACUGUGAGAUGGACCCGCGUCUGAUUAGCCAGUUGGCAGGGUAACGGCCUACCAAAGCGACGAUCAGUAGCCGACCUGAGAGGGUGACCGGGCCACAUUGGGACUGAGACACGGCCCAAACUCCUACGGGAGGCAGCAGUGGGGGAUAUUGCACAAUGGAGGAAACUCUGAUGCAGCGACGCCGCGUGAGUGAAGAAGUAUUUCGGUAUGUAAAGCUCUAUCAGCAGGGAAGAUAAU